UUAAAAACAAAAAUUCCCAUCCUCCCUAAUAUGACGGAAUUUUCCAACAUCAUAACAUUGGCACAUACAGUUGGUGGAGAAAGAUUUGAUGAUUUAUUGUUUGAAGAUAUUGAUGAAUUAUUAGUUGAUAAAGCCCUAAGCAAAGAUGAAAUAAUAGAGGCUGUCUUUGAGACUUCUGAUCUCAAAGAACAUAGUGAUAAAGACGAAGAAGAUCCUGUUUUAAAUGCAAAUUUAAUUAAAGAAGGUCUUGAACUGGCCAAUAAAUUGGGUAAUCAUUUUGUUAAACAUGAUCCUGAUGAGGAACAAGCUGGG
rnacentral:lncRNA from 1 species